rnacentral:rRNA from 1 species
CGAACGCUGGCGGCGUGCUUAACACAUGCACGUCGAACGGAAAGGCCCCUUCGGGGGUACUCGAGUGGCGAACAGGUGAGUAACACGUGAGUAACCUGCCCUUGACUUCGGGAUAACUUCAGGAAACUGGGGCUAAUACCGGAUAGGAAUCCUUGCUGCAUGGUGGGGGUUGGAAAGCUUCGGCGGUUUUGGAUGGACUCGCGGCUUAUCAGCUUGUUGGUGGGGUAGUGGCUUACCAAGGCUUUGACGGGUAGCCGGCCUGAGAGGGCGACCGGCCACAUUGGGACUGAGAUACGGCCCAGACUCCUACGGGAGGCAGCAGUGGGGAAUAUUGCACAAUGGGCGGAAGCCUGAUGCAGCAACGCCGCGUGCGGGAUGACGGCCUUCGGGUUGUAAACCGCUUUCAGCAGGGGCGAAGCUUGUGGUGACGGUACCUGCAGAAGAAGCACCGGCUAACUACGUG